rnacentral:rRNA from 1 species
GGAUUUAGCGGCGGAUGGGUGAGUAACACGUAAGCAACCUGCCUAAAAGAGGGGAAUAACAGAGAGAAAUUUCUGAUAAUACCGCAUAUACCAAAGUAUCGCAUGGUACAAUUGGGAAAGAUUUAUCACUUUUAGAUGGGCUUGCGUCUGAUUAGCUAGUUGGUGAGAUAAUAGCUCACCAAGGCGACGAUCAGUAGCCGGAUUGAGAGGUUGAACGGCCACAUUGGGACUGAGACACGGCCCAGACUCC